rnacentral:rRNA from 1 species
AUUGAACGCUGGCGGAAUGCUUUACACAUGCAAGUCGAGCGGCAGCACGGGGGCAACCCUGGUGGCGAGCGGCGAACGGGUGAGUAACACAUCGGAACAUGCCCAGUCGUGGGGGAUAACACUUCGAAAGAAGCGCUAAUACCGCAUACGUCCUGAGGGAGAAAGCGGGGGAUCGCAAGACCUCGCGCGAUUGGAGUGGCCGAUGUCAGAUUAGCUAGUUGGUGGGGUAAAGGCCUACCAAGGCAACGAUCUGUAGCUGGUCUGAGAGGAUGAUCAGCCACACUGGGACUGAGACACGGCCCAGACUCCUACGGGAGGCAGCAGUGGGGAAUUUUGGACAAUGGGGGCAACCCUGAUCCAGCCAUUCCGCGUGAGUGAAGAAGGCCUUCGGGUUGUAAAGCUCUUUCGGCAGGAACGAAACGGUGAGCUCUAACAUAGCUUGCUAAUGACGGUACCUGAAGAAGAAGCACCGGCUAACUACGUG